AGUGAACGCUGGCGGUAGGCCUAACACAUGCAAGUCGAACGGCAGCACAGUAAGAGCUUGCUCUUACGGGUGGCGAGUGGCGGACGGGUGAGGAAUACAUCGGAAUUUACUUUUUCGUGGGGGAUAACGUAGGGAAACUUACGCUAAUACCGCAUACGACCUACGGGUGAAAGCAGGGGAUCUUCGGACCUUGCGCGAUUGAAUGAGCCGAUGUCGGAUUAGCUAGUUGGCGGGGUAAAGGCCCACCAAGGCGACGAUCCGUAGCUGGUCUGAGAGGAUGAUCAGCCACAAUGGAACUGAGACACGGUCCAGACUCCUACGGGAGGCAGCAGUGGGGAAUAUUGGACAAUGGGCGCAAGCCUGAUCCAGCCAUACCGCGUGGGUGAAGAAGGCCUUCGGGUUGUAAAGCCCUUUUGUUGGGAAAGAAAAGCAGCAGGUUAAUACCCCGCUGUUCUGACGGUACCCAAAGAAUAAGCACCGGCUAACUUCGUG
rnacentral:rRNA from 1 species